rnacentral:rRNA from 1 species
CGCGUAGGCGGGAUGGCAAGUCAGUCGUGAAAUCUCUCGGCUCAACCGAGAAACGUCGGCUGAUACUGCCGUUCUUGAGGGAUGCAGAGGAGACUGGAAUUCCCGGUGUAGCGGUGAAAUGUGUAGAGAUCGGGAGGAACACCGGUGGCAAAGGCGGGUCUCUGGGCAUUUCCUGACGCUGAGGCGCGAAAGCGUGGGGAGCAAACG